AGACCAUGUUGCCCCUCCCGUUUUAGAAUCGUUCUCUCUGGUCUCUCAAGUCCCGUCUCUCCUCCCUCUGUCUCUGGCAUUUCAUCGCCGCCGCCGCGCCAUGCUCCAAUAGCCCUGGUGACGAAGAUGCAGUUCAUGCUAUCGCCUAAGCCCACCCUACCUAGUCUCGGUGGCAUGGAGCUCGCCGGCAAUGUUCCUGGUCACCAAGAUUCACUUCGUGCUAAUAUGCCACCCUUGAAAAUACGUUGUGAGUUUCCUAAUGUUGAGCUCUCCCCCGAGCCAGUUGAAACCCAUGGACAUGUAGAUCUGUCAGCUCAUGGUGGUGUUCAUAGUGUGGGAUUUGGUUCCUGCUAUCCCUGCGACGAUUUCCCUAUGACGCCAAUGUAUGUUAGUUCCUAUUGUGGAUAUAUGUUUCUCGUUUAUAAGUGGUCAUUGGUAAAUUUAUUGUUAACUGCAUAUGUAGGAAAAUGUAACGGUGAUAGCUAAUCCUGGAACAACUGAUCUCGAUUGGGGUAGCAUUGAGAUAGAAAAUGGAGAGGAGAAGGAAGGAAUGCAAUAAAUCCCAAAUGAGGAAGUUUUAUAUCUAAAACAUGGAUUACUACAGGAGCAUAGUAAUCAGACUGCAUUUGCUAAUCUUAGUGCUAAUGAUGGUG
rnacentral:misc_RNA from 1 species